CCGGGCUUUUGAUACGCUUGUG
rnacentral:siRNA from 1 species